AGCGAACGCUGGCGGCAGGCCUAACACAUGCAAGUCGAACGGAUCCUUCGGGAUUAGUGGCGGACGGGUGAGUAACACGUGGGAACGUGCCCUUUGGUUCGGAACAACUCAGGGAAACUUGAGCUAAUACCGGAUGUGCCCUUCGGGGGAAAGAUUUAUCGCCAUUGGAGCGGCCCGCGUCUGAUUAGCUAGUUGGUGAGGUAACGGCCCACCAAGGCGACGAUCAGUAGCUGGUCUGAGAGGAUGAUCAGCCCCGCUGGGACUGAGACACGGCCCAGACUCCUACGGGAGGCAGCAGUGGGGAAUCUUGCGCAAUGGGCGAAAGCCUGACGCAGCCAUGCCGCGUGAAUGAUGAAGGUCUUAGGAUUGUAAAAUUCUUUCAGCGGGGACGAUAAUGGCGGUACCCGCAGAAGAAGCUCCGGCUAACUUCGUG
rnacentral:rRNA from 1 species